GAUAUCGAAAGGUGCUGGAACCGAAGACAUCGAGGGUUCCACCAGGGGGGAGAAUGUUGCGAAACUGGCAACCCCGCCAGAGCGAAAGCAGAACGAGCGAACGCCUGACGGAACGGGAGAACAAAUGUAGAAACGUCAAGUAUAGAUUGCCCAGGAAAAGUACCUAUACGUAUCGAUGCAAUGACGAUGUGAUUUCUAGUGCGUGGCACAAAUUUAUAUAUAUCUGGAAAAUUUACAUUAUAAAGCGUAGAAUUUGGAUUUUCGGAAGCAUAAGUGGCAGGUCUUAGGUUUGGACCACAUAGCACCACUAGAAUUCUAACCUACGCUGGACACUCAGAAGUAGUUUAUAGUCAAAUUACCGUGUUCAAUUCAAGGACCGGUGAAAACCAGUUAAAAGCAAAGCUAUUGUUAGGAAUAUUCGUUAAAU